rnacentral:rRNA from 1 species
GAUGAACGCUGGCGGCGUGCUUAACACAUGCAAGUCGAACGAUGAAGCCCAGCUUGCUGGGUGGAUUAGUGGCGAACGGGUGAGUAACACGUGAGUAACCUGCCCUUAACUCUGGGAUAAGCCUGGGAAACUGGGUCUAAUACCGGAUAGGAGCGUCCACCGCAUGGUGGGUGUUGGAAAGAUUUAUCGGUUUUGGAUGGACUCGCGGCCUAUCAGCUUGUUGGUGAGGUAAUGGCUCACCAAGGCGACGACGGGUAGCCGGCCUGAGAGGGUGACCGGCCACACUGGGACUGAGACACGGCCCAGACUCCUACGGGAGGCAGCAGUGGGGAAUAUUGCACAAUGGGCGCAAGCCUGAUGCAGCGACGCCGCGUGAGGGAUGACGGCCUUCGGGUUGUAAACCUCUUUCAGUAGGGAAGAAACGAAAGUGACGGUACCUGCAGAAGAAGCACCGGCUAACUACGUG